rnacentral:rRNA from 1 species
UACGGAGGGUGCAAGCGUUAAUCGGAAUUACUGGGCGUAAAGGGUGCGUAGGCGGGUCUUUAAGUCAGGGGUGAAAUCCUGGAGCUCAACUCCAGAACUGCCUUUGAUACUGAAGAUCUUGAGUUCGGGAGAGGUGAGUGGAACUGCGAGUGUAGAGGUGAAAUUCGUAGAUAUUCGCAAGAACACCAGUGGCGAAGGCGGCUCACUGGCCCGAUACUGACGCUGAGGCACGAAAGCGUGGGGAGCAAACAGG